rnacentral:lncRNA from 1 species
GUCAUUGUUCAAAUUAAUUCUCUUAUCUCCUACUACAUACGUAUAAUGCUCCCACCUCAUCAGCACUUCACUCUUAUAAAAUGAACUUUCACCCAAUCUUCUUUUUUCUUGUCCCUUGCUUAUAAUAAAAUGGAGUGCUGAAAUUCUCUAAGGAUUUCGUACUAGCUUGAAAAUGAGCAUGAUGCUUCUUAAAUCUGCAUUCUCUUCUUCUCUUUUGUUAGUUUUCUUCACAGUUUACUGUUUAGCAGCCACUAAUUCUAAGUCCAAGCUCCAUCCAGCAGAAGGUAAUUAUAAACUUGUUUAAUUAUGUCUACAUAUAUAUAUAUAUAUAUUCCUACUUUGUAAAAUAUUAUCUGGCUUUUCAAUUCUCCCUUGGGUUCAUUUUAUAUAUGCAGUGAAAGCAUUGAAAGAGAUAGCCAAAAAGCUU